GUUAAUAAUGUAAAAUCAAUUUAAACUUCAAAAUUACAUAAACAUAAUCGAACGAAACAUGAAACAUAACCAAGAAAAAAUGAGUGCUUGAAAUCUGUUAGUAUUACGAGAGAGAAGAAAGCAUUUUAUGUUGUACAGUCUACACGUACGUACAUAUUAAGUGAAAUGAAUAUUUUGAUACAUGUUUCAAAUAUUCGCAAGGGAUGGCUGAAAAGGAGGCAAAGAUUGAAUACGUGACAGAACCUUGCCCUAUUAAGCCUCGUAAAAUAGGUCCACAGAAUAUAAUUCUACGCUUAAAACGGCGAGAAACAUUUGGUUGUCCUUAUCCAGGAACGCAUGUGCAUAGUGCCAGACAAUUUUAUCAAAAUGUAUUUCCUAAUUUUACUGUUAUGAAUGUUGAAAAACCUCCAUGCUUUCUCAGAAAAUUUAGUCCUGAUGGUCGUUACUUAAUAGCAUUUAGUGCUGAUCAAACCUCUAUAGAAGUUUAUGAAUAUCGUGGUGCAUCAGCAGCUGCUGAUUUAUUAGCAAGUUGUGAAGGCGAAUAUGUUGGUCAUGAGAAUGAUAAAUGUACUUUUCAAAUUAGAAAAAACAUUUUUAGUCGAUUUUUUAAGGCUAAAUGGAUUGUUAAUGUGGUUCAAAGCAAUGAACAAUUAAAUAGAGAAUGUAGUUUAUUUACAGACGAUGGCAGAUAUGUAAUUGUUGGUUCAGCUGCCCAUAUACCAGAUGAAUUAAGACCACACUUUUAUCAGAUUUAUUCUAACAAUGAAGCGCUGACUCCAAACCCUAGGUCACCGCUUGAAGAUUAUAGUUUACAUCUUGUUGAUUUACAUGGAGGAAAAUUAUGUGAUACUAGACAUUUUAAAGUAGAUAAAAUAUAUUUGUCUCACAAUCAGGGUCUCUAUCUCUAUAAAGAUAUAUUAGCAGUUUUAUCAGUACAGCAUCAGACCAUUCAUAUAUUUCAAAUUCUCGAUGGAAUGUUUAUCAAUGUUAGAACAAUAGGAAGGUUUUGUUUAGAGGAUGAUGCUUAUUUAGUUAGAAGUGCAUGUCCAGGUGUGAACUGUCGUCCAUUUAGAGACGUAACAAUAAACUGUCUUAAACAUAAGUUAUUGGUUUAUUUGUACAAAAGAGCGACGUAUAUUAGCGAUACAACGAGAGAUCCAUAUGAAUUAAGGCGUUUUUAUCAAUACUUUGACCAAUUAAAUGCAUUACGAAUGUGGAAAAUGCAAUUAUUAGAUACAAAUCAUAUUCUUGUAAGAUUUGCAAGUGAAGAAGUGGCGACACUUCAAGCAAAUGAACCCAAUGUGCAACCCGCACUUUUGGUGGUUUACGAUAUGGUUACUGCUAAAAUAUUAGCUGCAUAUGAUAAUACAUCUACACAAUUAUUAACACAAUUUGAAAACUUCAGCGAUUUUUUCAGGAAUGCGAGAAUGAGUGGCGAUUGUCAAUAUAUGUGUUCUCCAUCUAACAAUAUACAUGCGAGGAUUAGAGUUACUACGCUCUUUAACAAGGAAAGCUUGAAGUUCACUACAGUAAAAAUCAUAAAGAUGUAAACCUAUUCUUACGAAUAUGUUAAAACAGAAGAAACAAUUUAUUUUCGAAAUACAGGAUAAUAAAGACAGAUGCAAUCAAACUAUAGACGAUACAGCUCCACAAAAUAGGACAUUUCGGUUUCCAUCCGAUUAUCUUUUGGGAAAUAUAUUUCUGAAAGUUUAAAUAAAAUCCUUCCUGCAAGGUCAAAAUAACAAAGCAUUGUACAAUGGUGAAUUCUCUUUUCACUUUUCCUUGUUGUCCCCC
rnacentral:misc_RNA from 1 species